AUGGAGGGAAGAAAAUGAAAGAAAAAAUGAAAUGUGCGUUUACUUUAUAAAAGGAGUGUUUCUCCCACCAAAGGAACAUCCUUGUGCUUAAGUAUCGAAACAUACCUUUCAUGGGGAUAGUGAGGCAAGAAGAAGACAAGUCUCGCACCGUCGUUGCUUGGCUUCGGCUUUGGACAAAAUUCAAUUGAAACUUAAUUGUUUAAUGACUUUUUAAUCUAAAAAUCUGAGAUGAAAAUUUUCUCCAUGAGCAUGUGCUAACACACAUAGAAG
rnacentral:lncRNA from 1 species